rfam:Trichuris trichiura, WGS project CBXK01000000 data, contig: TTRE_916
UUAGAUAAGAACUCUCUCACUCCAGCCAGAGCCACCAACUCAGGGCUGGAAAGUAAAAAACCGACGCAAAGUCGGUUUUUUUAC